AAAAUUAUAGUGUAGCACUGGAAAUGGUCUCAGGUGAUAUCUUGAUUAAAAUAAUUAAGCGGGGAUUUAGGUAAUAUUUAUAUUUUAUAAAACGUUUCAUUUACUAUAUUCCGAUCUUCCAGUGAACUUUAUACAUUAUUCUCUAUUCACCUAAAGUCAGACAUUUCCCAUGGACCAGGACUACAAUAUACUUUUAAAUGGCAAUGAUAUCCUGUUUAUUCAAUGACUUCCAAAAAUUAAUACAGGCCGUGGUUUAUAAAAAAAAAAAAAAUUCCCGUUACAAAAAAAAACACAUAUGCAGUUUAUCAAUAUGAAUUGCAUACGUGUGAUAUAAAUGAUGAAUUUUAAACCUCUGGUUUAUAAGACAUAAUUACAUUGAUUAAGAAAACAAUUUCAAUUGACAGAUCCGGCAUGAUUUAAUUAAUUGUUUAGGAGUAUUUACGUGAUUUAGUUGUACGUUGGGUGGAUUUAUUUGGUAUUCAAGAAUCUUUGCUUCUCUCUAUACACACACGUAUAUAUUAUAUAUACAAUCUUGUAUAUAAAAAAACGCCCCCUUCGAGUUCG
rnacentral:lncRNA from 1 species